CAGCAGCCGCGGUAAUACGGAGGGGGCUAGCGUUGUUCGGAAUUACUGGGCGUAAAGCGCACGUAGGCGGCCAUUCAAGUUAGAUGUGAAAGCCCUGGGCUCAACCUAGGAAUUGCAUUUGAUACUGUUUGGCUUGAGUUCGGGAGAGGUGAGUGGAAUUCCCAGUGUAGAGGUGAAAUUCGUAGAUAUUGGGAAGAACACCAGUGGCGAAGGCGGCUCACUGGACCGACACUGACGCUGAGGCGCGAAAGCGUGGGGAGCAAACAGGAUUAGAUACCCCCGUAGUCCCUGUCUCUUAUAC
rnacentral:rRNA from 1 species